rnacentral:rRNA from 1 species
GAGUUUGAUCAUGGCUCAAGACGAACGCCGGUGGCAGGCUUAACACAUGCAAGUCGAGCGCACCUUCGGGUGAGCGGCAGACGGGUGAGUAACGCGUGGGAAUCUACCCAUCCCUACGGAAUAGCUCCGGGAAACUGGAAUUAAUACCGUAUACGCCCUUCGGGGGGAAAGAUUUAUCGGGGAUGGAUGAGCCCGCGUUGGAUUAGCUAGUUGGUGGGGUAAUGGCCUACCAAGGCGACGAUCCAUAGCUGGUCUGAGAGGAUGAUCAGCCACACUGGGACUGAGACACGGCCCAGACUCCUACGGGAGGCAGCAGUGGGGAAUAUUGGACAAUGGGCGAAAGCCUGAUCCAGCCAUGCCGCGUGAGUGAUGAAGGCCCUAGGGUUGUAAAGCUCUUUCAACGGUGAAGAUAAUGACGGUAGCCGUAGAAGAAGCCCCGGCUAACUUCGUGCCAGCAGCCGCGGUAAUACGAAGGGGGCUAGCGUUGUUCGGAAUUACUGGGCGUAAAGCGCACGUAGGCGGAUUGAUCAGUUGGGGGUGAAAUCCCAGGGCUCAACCCUGGAACUGCCUUCAAUACUGUCUGUCUAGAGGUCGAGAGAGGUGAGUGGAAUUCCGAGUGUAGAGGUGAAAUUCGUAGAUAUUCGGAGGAACACCAGUGGCGAAGGCGGCUCACUGGCUCGAUACUGACGCUGAGGUGCGAAAGCGUGGGGAGCAAACGGGAUUAGAUACCCCGGUAGUCCACGCCGUAAACGAUGGAUGCUAGCUGUUAUAGGUAUCGACCCCUGUAGUAGCGAAGCUAACGCGUUAAGCAUCCCGCCUGUGGAGUACGGUCGCAAGACUAAAACAUAAAGGAAUUGACGGGGACCCGCACAAGCGGUGGAGCGUGUUGUUUAAUUCGAUGGUAAACGAAGAACCUUACCCAGGCUUGACAUCCCGGUGCCAUUUCCGAAAGGAAAUUUCAUUUAGUUGGUCGGUGACAGGUGAUGCAUGGCCGUCGUCAGCUCGUGUCGUGAGAUGUUUGGUUAAGUCCAUCAACGAGCGCAACCCUUGUGAAUAGUUGAAUUUUUCUAUUCAGACUGCCCUGGUAACAGGGAGGAAGGAGGGGAUGAUGUCAGGUCAGUAUUUCCCUUACGUCUGGGGCUACAAACACGCUACAAUGGCCGGUACAAAGGGCAGCCAAGUCGCAAGACGGAGCAAAUCCCAUAAAGCCGGUCUCAGUUCGGAUUGAAGGCUGAAACUCGCCUUCAUGAAGCCGGAAUCGCUAGUAACGGCAGGUCAGCUAUACUGCCGUGAAUACGUUCCCGGGUCUUGUACACACCGCCCGUCAAACCAUGAAAGUCGCCAAUACCUGACGUGUGAGCUUCGCCUCGCCCUAAGGUAGGGGAGAUGAUUGGGGUUAAGUCGUAACAAGGUAACC